GGUUAAGCGACUAAGCGUACACGGUGGAUGCCCUGGCAGUCAGAGGCGAUGAAGGACGUGCUAAUCUGCGAUAAGCGUCGGUAAGGUGAUAUGAACCGUUAUAACCGGCGAUUUCCGAAUGGGGAAACCCAGUGUGAUUCGUCACACUAUCAUUAACUGAAUCCAUAGGUUAAUGAGGCGAACCGGGGGAACUGAAACAUCUAAGUACCCCGAGGAAAAGAAAUCAACCGAGAUUCCCCCAGUAGCGGCGAGCGAACGGGGAGCAGCCCAGAGCCUGAAUCAGUGUGUGUGUUAGUGGAAGCGUCUGGAAAGGCGCGCGAUACAGGGUGACAGCCCCGUACACAAAAAUGCACAUGCUGUGAGCUCGAUGAGUAGGGCGGGACACGUGGUAUCCUGUCUGAAUAUGGGGGGACCAUCCUCCAAGGCUAAAUACUCCUGACUGACCGAUAGUGAACCAGUACCGUGAGGGAAAGGCGAAAAGAACCCCGGCGAGGGGAGUGAAAAAGAACCUGAAACCGUGUACGUACAAGCAGUGGGAGCACGCUUAGGCGUGUGACUGCGUACCUUUUGUAUAAUGGGUCAGCGACUUAUAUUCUGUAGCAAGGUUAACCGAAUAGGGGAGCCGAAGGGAAACCGAGUCUUAACUGGGCGUUAAGUUGCAGGGUAUAGACCCGAAACCCGGUGAUCUAGCCAUGGGCAGGUUGAAGGUUGGGUAACACUAACUGGAGGACCGAACCGACUAAUGUUGAAAAAUUAGCGGAUGACUUGUGGCUGGGGGUGAAAGGCCAAUCAAACCGGGAGAUAGCUGGUUCUCCCCGAAAGCUAUUUAGGUAGCGCCUCGUGAAUUCAUCUCCGGGGGUAGAGCACUGUUUCGGCAAGGGGGUCAUCCCGACUUACCAACCCGAUGCAAACUGCGAAUACCGGAGAAUGUUAUCACGGGAGACACACGGCGGGUGCUAACGUCCGUCGUGAAGAGGGAAACAACCCAGACCGCCAGCUAAGGUCCCAAAGUCAUGGUUAAGUGGGAAACGAUGUGGGAAGGCCCAGACAGCCAGGAUGUUGGCUUAGAAGCAGCCAUCAUUUAAAGAAAGCGUAAUAGCUCACUGGUCGAGUCGGCCUGCGCGGAAGAUGUAACGGGGCUAAACCAUGCACCGAAGCUGCGGCAGCGACGCUUAUGCGUUGUUGGGUAGGGGAGCGUUCUGUAAGCCUGUGAAGGUGUACUGUGAGGUAUGCUGGAGGUAUCAGAAGUGCGAAUGCUGACAUAAGUAACGAUAAAGCGGGUGAAAAGCCCGCUCGCCGGAAGACCAAGGGUUCCUGUCCAACGUUAAUCGGGGCAGGGUGAGUCGACCCCUAAGGCGAGGCCGAAAGGCGUAGUCGAUGGGAAACAGGUUAAUAUUCCUGUACUUGGUGUUACUGCGAAGGGGGGACGGAGAAGGCUAUGUUGGCCGGGCGACGGUUGUCCCGGUUUAAGCGUGUAGGCUGGUUUUCCAGGCAAAUCCGGAAAAUCAAGGCUGAGGCGUGAUGACGAGGCACUACGGUGCUGAAGCAACAAAUGCCCUGCUUCCAGGAAAAGCCUCUAAGCAUCAGGUAACAUCAAAUCGUACCCCAAACCGACACAGGUGGUCAGGUAGAGAAUACCAAGGCGCUUGAGAGAACUCGGGUGAAGGAACUAGGCAAAAUGGUGCCGUAACUUCGGGAGAAGGCACGCUGAUAUGUAGGUGAAGUCCCUCGCGGAUGGAGCUGAAAUCAGUCGAAGAUACCAGCUGGCUGCAACUGUUUAUUAAAAACACAGCACUGUGCAAACACGAAAGUGGACGUAUACGGUGUGACGCCUGCCCGGUGCCGGAAGGUUAAUUGAUGGGGUCAGCGCAAGCGAAGCUCUUGAUCGAAGCCCCGGUAAACGGCGGCCGUAACUAUAACGGUCCUAAGGUAGCGAAAUUCCUUGUCGGGUAAGUUCCGACCUGCACGAAUGGCGUAAUGAUGGCCAGGCUGUCUCCACCCGAGACUCAGUGAAAUUGAACUCGCUGUGAAGAUGCAGUGUACCCGCGGCAAGACGGAAAGACCCCGUGAACCUUUACUAUAGCUUGACACUGAACAUUGAGCCUUGAUGUGUAGGAUAGGUGGGAGGCUUUGAAGUGUGGACGCCAGUCUGCAUGGAGCCGACCUUGAAAUACCACCCUUUAAUGUUUGAUGUUCUAACGUUGACCCGUAAUCCGGGUUGCGGACAGUGUCUGGUGGGUAGUUUGACUGGGGCGGUCUCCUCCUAAAGAGUAACGGAGGAGCACGAAGGUUGGCUAAUCCUGGUCGGACAUCAGGAGGUUAGUGCAAUGGCAUAAGCCAGCUUGACUGCGAGCGUGACGGCGCGAGCAGGUGCGAAAGCAGGUCAUAGUGAUCCGGUGGUUCUGAAUGGAAGGGCCAUCGCUCAACGGAUAAAAGGUACUCCGGGGAUAACAGGCUGAUACCGCCCAAGAGUUCAUAUCGACGGCGGUGUUUGGCACCUCGAUGUCGGCUCAUCACAUCCUGGGGCUGAAGUAGGUCCCAAGGGUAUGGCUGUUCGCCAUUUAAAGUGGUACGCGAGCUGGGUUUAGAACGUCGUGAGACAGUUCGGUCCCUAUCUGCCGUGGGCGCUGGAGAACUGAGGGGGGCUGCUCCUAGUACGAGAGGACCGGAGUGGACGCAUCACUGGUGUUCGGGUUGUCAUGCCAAUGGCACUGCCCGGUAGCUAAAUGCGGAAGAGAUAAGUGCUGAAAGCAUCUAAGCACGAAACUUGCCCCGAGAUGAGUUCUCCCUGACCCUUUAAGGGUCCUGAAGGAACGUUGAAGACGACGACGUUGAUAGGCCGGGUGUGUAAGCGCAGCGAUGCGUUGAGCUAACCGGUACUAAUGAACCGUGAGGCUUAACCUU
rnacentral:rRNA from 1 species